UACGGAGGAUGCAAGCGUUCUCCGGAAUGAUUGGGCGUAAAGCGUCCGCAGGUGGCUGUGUAAGUCUGCUGUCAAAGAGCGAAGCUCAACUUCGUAAAGGCAGUGGAAACUACACGGCUAGAGUGCGUUCGGGGCAGAGGGAAUUCCUGGUGUAGCGGUGAAAUGCGUAGAGAUCAGGGAGAACACCGGUGGCGAAGGCGCUCUGCUAGGCCGCAACUGACACUGAGGGACGAAAGCUAGGGGAGCGAAUGGG
rnacentral:rRNA from 1 species